UAUGUAGGGGGCUAGCGUUGUUCGGAAUUAUUGGGCGUAAAGCGCGCGCAGGCGGUCUUUUAAGUCUGAUGUGAAAUCCCGCGGCUCAACCGCGGGCGGUCAUUGGAAACUGGAGGACUUGAGUGUAGAAGAGGAGAGUGGAAUUCCACGUGUAGCGGUGAAAUGCGUAGAGAUGUGGAGGAACACCAGUGGCGAAGGCGACUCUCUGGUCUGUAACUGACGCUGAGGUGCGAAAGCAUGGGUAGCGAACAGG
rnacentral:misc_RNA from 1 species